rnacentral:lncRNA from 1 species
UUAUUAUUAUUAUUUAAUACCAAAGCUGGAUCAUGAAAAUCUGAUACACCAUCAUUGUUAUCAUCGAAGAAAGCAGUGUCACUGAGCAAACACCUUGUUGAACCAACAGGAGGAGUAGUAGUGAAUAAAUCACCAUUAUUAUUAUUUUGCUUAAUCCAACUUCUCCUCGCCAGAACGCUAUCAAUCUGCUUAGAAGAGUAGACAGUAUUUUCUGCUACGUUUUU